rnacentral:rRNA from 1 species
GUCUGCAGCCAUGCCACCCUGAAUGCAUCCGAUCUCAUCUGAUCUCGGAAGCUAAGCAGGGUCGGCCCGGUUAUACUUGAAUGGGAGACCACCUAGGAAGACUAGGUGCUGUAGGUG